rnacentral:tRNA from 1 species
GCGCCAGUGCUGAAAUUGGUAGACAGGCUAGGUUGAGGGCCUAGUGCUCGCAAGGGCGUGGUGGUUCAAGUCCACUCUGGCGCACCA